rnacentral:misc_RNA from 1 species
GUUCCGUAGGUGAACCUGCGGAAGGAUCAUUCAUAAUAAGUGUUUUAUGGCACUUUUUAAAUCCAUAUCCACCUUGUGUGCAAUGUCAGGGUUGAUUUUUCUCUCGAGAGGAUCAGCCCCAAACAUCAACUAUAUCUCAACUCUUUGUCUGAAAAAUAUUAUGAAUAAAACAAUUCAAAAUACAACUUUCAACAACGGAUCUCUUGGCUCUC